GGUUCCGUAGUGUAGGGGUUAUCACAUCAGACUCUGAAUCUGAUAACGGGAGUUCGAUUCUCCCCGGGACCU